UACCGCGAAGAACCUUACCAGGUCUUGACAUCCUCUGACAAUCCUAGAGAUAGGACUUCCCCUUCGGGGGCAGAGUGACAGGUGGUGCAUGGUUGUCGUCAGCUCGUGUCGUGAGAUGUUGGGUUAAGUCCCGCAACGAGCGCAACCCUUGAUCUUAGUUGCCAGCAUUCAGUUGGGCACUCUAAGGUGACUGCCGGUGACAAACCGGAGGAAGGUGGGGAUGACGUCAAAUCAUCAUGCCCCUUAUGACCUGGGCUACACACGUGCUACAAUGGACAGWWYWAWURRRCAGCGAAACCGCGAGGUUAAGCCAAUCCCAYAAAUMUSWYCUCAGUUCGGAUCGCAGUCUGCAACUCGRSUGCGUGAAGCUGGAAUCGCUAGUAAUCGCGGAUCAGCAUGCCGCGGUGAAUACGUUCCCGGGUCUUGUACACACCGA
rnacentral:rRNA from 1 species